rnacentral:rRNA from 1 species
UACAGAGGUCUCAAGCGUUGUUCGGAUUCAUUGGGCGUAAAGGGUGCGUAGGCGGCGCGGUAAGUCGGGGUGUGAAAUCUUGGAGCUUAACUCCGAAACUGCAUUCGAUACUGCCGUGCUUGAGGACUGGAGAGGAGACUGGAAUUGACGGUGUAGCGGUGAAAUGCGUAGAUAUCGUAAGGAAGACCAGUGGCGAAGACGGGUCUCUGGACAGUUCCUGACGCUGAGGCACGAAGGUCAGGGGAGCAAACGGG